AGAGUUUGAUCCUGGCUCAGAUUGAACGCUGGCGGAACGCUUUACACAUGCAAGUCGAACGGUAACGCGGAGGGAAGCUUGCUUCUCUCCGGCGACGAGUGGCGAACGGGUGAGUAAUACAUCGGAACGUGUCCGCUCGUGGGGGACAACCAGCCGAAAGGUUGGCUAAUACCGCAUGAGUUCUACGGAAGAAAGAGGGGGACCCGCAAGGGCCUCUCGCGAGCGGAGCGGCCGAUGACUGAUUAGCCAGUUGGUGAGGUAACGGCUCACCAAAGCAACGAUCAGUAGCUGGUCUGAGAGGACGACCAGCCACACUGGGACUGAGACACGGCCCAGACUCCUACGGGAGGCAGCAGUGGGGAAUUUUGGACAAUGGGCGCAAGCCUGAUCCAGCUAUUCCGCGUGUGGGAUGAAGGCCCUCGGGUUGUAAACCACUUUUGUAGAGAACGAAAAGACAUCUUCGAAUAAAGGAUGUUGCUGACGGUACUCUAAGAAUAAGCACCGGCUAACUACGUGCCAGCAGCCGCGGUAAUACGUAGGGUGCGAGCGUUAAUCGGAAUUACUGGGCGUAAAGGGUGCGCAGGCGGUUGAGUAAGACAGAUGUGAAAUCCCCGAGCUUAACUCGGGAAUGGCAUAUGUGACUGCUCGACUAGAGUGUGUCAGAGGGAGGUGGAAUUCCACGUGUAGCAGUGAAAUGCGUAGAUAUGUGGAAGAACACCGAUGGCGAAGGCAGCCUCCUGGGACAUAACUGACGCUCAGGCACGAAAGCGUGGGGAGCAAACAGGAUUAGAUACCCUGGUAGUCCACGCCCUAAACGAUGUUAACUAGUUGUUGGGAUGUAACAAUCUCAGUAACGCAGCCAACGCGAGAAGUUAACCGCCUGGGAAGUACGGUCGCAAGACUAAAACUCAAAGGAAUUGACGGGGACCCGCACAAGCGGUGGAUGAUGUGGAUUAAUUCGAUGCAACGCGAAAAACCUUACCUACCCUUGACAUGUCAGGAAGCUCUUGUAAUGAGAGCGUGCCCGCAAGGGAGCCUGAACACAGGUGCUGCAUGGCUGUCGUCAGCUCGUGUCGUGAGAUGUUGGGUUAAGUCCCGCAA
rnacentral:rRNA from 1 species